rnacentral:sRNA from 1 species
UUCCUGGGUAGCAUCUGGGUGCUUCA